UGGGGAAUAUUGCGCAAUGGGGGCAACCCUGACGCAGCAACGCCGCGUGAUUGAAGAAGGCCUUCGGGUUGUAAAGAUCUUUAAUCAGGGACGAAUUUUGACGGUACCUGAAGAAUAAGCUCCGGCUAACUACGUGCCAGCAGCCGCGGUAAUACGUAGGGAGCAAGCGUUAUCCGGAUUUACUGGGUGUAAAGGGCGAGUAGGCGGGCUGGUAAGUUGGAAGUGAAAUCCCGGGGCUUAACUCCGGAACUGCUUUCAAAACUGCUGGUCUUGAGUGAUGGAGAGGCAGGCGGAAUUCCCAGUGUAGCGGUGAAAUGCGUAGAUAUUGGGAGGAACACCAGUGGCGAAGGCGGCCUGCUGGACAUUAACUGACGCUGAGGAGCGAAAGCGUGGGGAGCAAACA
rnacentral:rRNA from 1 species